GUUUGUCCAAGUUUUUGGGAGAUCAAAAGUACUUAUUUUUAAAAAGUAAGAUAUUUGGGGAGUAGCAGAAGUUGUUUUUUAGAAGUUAAAAACAUAAUUUUCCCCCAAAAACACUACUAUUUUUUAAAGCACUUUCAAGAAAAUACACUUAGAAGCACUUUUUAAAAGCUUGUUAAACACUAAUUGUUGUUCAAAAGUGUUUUUUAAACUCAUUGACCAAACAGAAACUGCUUCUCACCAAAUAUAAUUUUUUAAAAAGCAUUUUUUAAAAUAACUUGAUUUUAGAAGCUUGACCAAACAAGCUAUAUGUCUAUUAAACUUGAGGAAAACUAUAAAAAAAAAAAAAAAAAAAAAAAAAAAAAACAAGAUUUAGCUAGAAUGCCAUACAACUUUCAUCAAAUCCGAAAAACUACCAAAAAAAAACUACCGUAGACUCCAAAAAUUAAUCAAAAAUAGUAAAAUUGCAAUUUAAAAGCAAAACCAGACUCUAGAAAUUUAAAAAAAAAAAAUAGCAAAAAUCAAAAGCUUUACCUCCAGAUGUGAGUUCUUGCUAAACGUUUUUUUUUUUUUUUUUCGUAGUGUCCGUCAAAAUCUAAAUAUUCAUUUUUUACAACUGUACAGGACAAAAAAUGCUGGCAUUUGACUUUAUAAAAAGGUUGAGCAUUGACCUUAGAAAUAAGUUCCUUUUUAAAAUUUCAGUUAGCCUUCCCGCGUUGCAAUUGACUUUGACCCAAAAUAUAGAAAAAAUCAUACUAUAAAGCUCUGUGUAUAUAUUCAUUCAAUUGAAAAAUUGAACCCUUCAUUUUUUUGCAUCUCAUCAGAAAUUUAAUCCAUGGAUACUCAAAUUAUUCAAGGACAAUCACCUACUUCCCAGUUUUCUUAUGACAUAUUUCUGAGUUUCAUAGGUGAAGAUACCCGAAAAACCUUCACAGGUCAUCUUUAUUCUAGAUUGUGUCAAGCUGGAAUUAAUACGUUCAUAGAUGAUGAGGAUUUGAGAAAAGGUGAGUCGAUUUCGAAGGAAUUAGAGAAAUCAAUUGAAGAAUCCAAGGUGUCUAUUGAGGUUUUCUUGAAUGUAGAGAGAAGUUGAAGCAGAUAGUUUUGCCUGUUUUCUAUGAUGUUGAUCCUUCUCUUGUGAGAAAGCAAACUGGGUGUUUUGGUGAAGCUUUGGCUAGACACGUGGAACGAUCAUUUGGGGCUCGAAGAAUGGAGAAAUGGACGACUGCACUGAAGCUGCUGAUUUAUCUGGAUGGGAUUUGCGAAAUGUUGCUGACCGGUAUAGUUUCUUGAUUCAACUAUUUAGUUUUUAGUUUUAUUCCCUCCGUAUCAUAAUAAGUGAUACUUUUACCUUUUCAUUUUGUUUCAAAUAAGUGGUGUUUCACAUAAUCAAGAAGACAAUGAUUUUGUUCUUCCAAUUUUAGCCUUACUUAAAUAAAUUGAGUUUUACAUAACCAAGAAACUACUAAAGAACUACUUUUUUAAGGCAUUUAUCUUAUGGAAUUUGGGAAAUGUUGCUAACGGGUACAAUUUCUUAUUCGAUUAUCAAAUUUUUACUCCCUCCGUCCUAAUUUAUGUGGAACUUUUCGUUUCCCGACAGUUAAUUUGACUAAUCUUAGAAGCUAAAUUGGAUUAGAUAUACUCAGUAUUUUAAAACUAAAAUUUAGAUAUUCAAAGCUAUAUGAAAAGUGUUAUAAGUUGCAAAUUUUUCGCAUGUCAAUGACGAAACAUUUUAAAAUGUUGGUCUUUCAAUCUCGAAAAAACGAGAAGUGCCACAUAAAUUUGGGACAGAGGAAGUAGUUUUUAUUCGCCCUCAUUGGUUAUAUGACGACGACAACAACAACAACAACAACAACAACAACAGCCCAGUGAAAUCCCACAUCUUGGGGUCUGGGGAGGGUAUAAUGUACGCAGACCUUACUCCUACCAAGGUAGGAUGACAUGAUACAAAUUCUUAAAAUGUCCUGUAUGAUGAAGUAAGUCAUCUGUUUUACCGCUUCAGAUUGGAUUUUCCUGUCAAGUACCUAUGGAUUCUAAUUGUGAUAGAGCUUCAUUUUGUCCAUGUUGUGUGUUGUCUAUGGAUUUUGAUUUUGAUUUUGAUAUGUUGACGAGCGUAAAACCGUGGUAUAUAACUAAAGCUCGUGCUUGUUAAAGACAGUAUAGAUGACUAUCUUGCUAUCAACUAUUCAGUAUUGCUUGUUUGCUAUUUGAGAAAUUAGAAAGUUGAGGAAUGAUUCUUGACUAAAAUGAAAUAAAGUAAAGCAAGAGUACUUAGACACAACUAAAGGCAAAGGUUUCUAAUCAAUUGAUUAUAGUAGUCGAAUCUGAACUUCACCUGUGAUUAACAUAUCGUGUUCGGUUUCCUCAUGUUCAAUCUUUUAUAAGUUUAUGCCUCUUUCGCUCAACUAUUACGACCUUCUUAGCUAUAGAUACGAGUAAAUAUCUCAAAAGGUCACUGAACUUUAAGUAGUUAUGUGGCAAAAUUACUAAACUUUGCUACAUAUCAAAAAAAUCACUCAACUUUGGCCUUUACUCUCAUAAAAUCACUCAACUAAAUGUGUCAUCAGAGAAAUUUGACAUGACAAUAUUAAUUAAUUUUUUAUGUCAUGUAGACAUGAACCCCACAAAUAAAAUAAAAUAAAAUAAAUUCAUAUUUUAAUUUUGGAUAUACACUUCAGUUUUCUCUAAAAUUUAAGGUAUAAAAAUUAAUCUACUACUUUAGACACUUUACGUGUAGAGCUAAGUUGUUAAAUUUCAAUUGACUCAUUGAAAACACUAAUGCCAAUGGAUUUAUUUGUAACCUUAGUUCCAUCGUAUAUUAACCAAAAAAAUUGUUGUUAUUUUUUUUGUUUUUUUUUUUUGUUUUUUGGGGUAAAAAAAUAAAAAAUUGUUGUUGCUUACAAAAGGAAAGGGUCCAACGGGUCCUAUGUGGCCUCUUCCUUUCAGACCAAUAAUAACAUUCACGUGUUUCUAUAUAUUCUUUAAUAGAUUAAUUAAUAUGUAUUUUUAUUUUAUUUAUUUCUUAAUUAUAAUAAAAUUCAUACAUAUUUAUUUGGUGUAAAUAUCUUAUAUGAAUAAGUCUUAUCUAUUAAAUAGAUAUACGUAAACAAAGUAGAAAGAUAAGAAAAUAGAGACGAAAAGAAAGAUUGUAGAAGCUAAAAAGAAGGACAAUGCAAUAAAUAAAUAAGAAAAUAAUUUCAAGAAAAAGAAUAAGAGCACACAUAAAAAUAAGGUAGAAAUAACAAAAAAAAAUGAGUUUUAAAUGAAGGGUUGGUGGGUGGAUGUUGAGGUAUUAAAAUAUGAUUUUUUUUUAAUUUAUGGGGUCCAUGUCUACAAGACAUAAAAAAAUUAAUUAAUAUUGUCAUGUCAUAUUGUUUUGAUGACAUAUUUAGUUGAGUGAUUUUAUGAAAGUAAAAGUCAAAGUUGAAUGAUUUUAUUGAUAUGUAGUAAAGUUUAAUGACUUUACUACAUAUUUACUCCUAUAGAUACUCCUCUUCAUUAUACUAAUAACAGAGGAAUUGUAAUGCCUUAAGAAGUUUUGAGGAUUCUUCAUCUAAUCACUUUCUUUGGACACCUCUCUCGAUUACACAAAACUAAUAUAACAUUCUUUACUAGAAGUAUCUCUUUUGAUUAUACAAAUAGCAAAGGUUAAAUAGUUACUUAAGAGUGGAAGGUGGUUGAUUGAUUAGCCUUAGAUUCCAUAGGUAGAUAUAAACCCUUUUGGUUACCUAUAUAUGAUCAGAAGUACGUUUAGACUAGUCUCUCCUUUCGGUUAACACAAGAAUGAACUAGUUAUAAUCAUUCAAGCACAAUUGGGAUAAUAACGGGUUCAAACAACCUCUUUGGAUUAACAGUUUGAUUUCACAAAAGGGUUAUUGCAUCAACAAAUGAUGCAAAGAGGAAAUUAAAAGUAGGAUUAAAUCAUAGGAUUAAUCUAAAUCCAACUACAAGAAAUUUAUUCUGUAGUGGAGUUCAAUCCAAAUAAAUAUGUAUCAAAGUCACAAGAAACAAUGGGUACAAAGAGAAAUUAAAAUCUGAGGAGAAAGGACUCCCAAAAUCUUGUGUUUCUUCAGAUUUAGCAGCCAAUAGGCGUCCAAAAGUCUCCCAACAAACUCAUAAUCAUACCCUGCUGUGAUGACCUAAUCACAAAUUUCUGUGCUUCAGUUUUUUGUAUCAAGUGCUGCAGCACUCAGUAAUCAAAUAUUGUAGCAUUUCUGCUGUUUUUGGCCUUCAAAAAAAUGCUGGUCAAGUGUUGGUUCUUCAUUUAGGCUUCUUCAAGUUUCCUUUUCCUCAAUUCUUGCAUCUCUUUUCCUUGAUCUUUGUGUUUCUUCAUCCUCUUUCCUUUGUUGCAUGGUCUAUUAACAAAGUAACAUACUAACAUGCAUUUGUGAGGAAUCAUACGAUAUAAUGCUUAAAACUCAAAAAUUGAAGCAUAAAAAGGAUAUAAACAGGUGUAUAAAUAUGACUCAUCAUUUUUGCUUUGAGUGUCAAGUUCAGGAUUGGCUUCGAGUAGCCGAGAGGCUAAAGAAAAAGGUCAUGUCCGUCAAAUGAUGAAGAGAAGAAGGAAAUGUCUCUUGUUUGUUGUUCUUUUGCAGUUGGUGGUUUGAUGUAUUUCGUGGUUUGUGCUAGGUUAGAUAUUUGCACAUGGUUCACAAGGUUUUACCAUUGCAAGGCUUAGUUGCAAUUCUGGUCUGCUUCAAAAGAAAUAAAGGAUUUCAUCUAUCAUUUUCAUAUAUCAAAGUUUUAUCUACUUGUUUUUUUCUUUUUAUUUUUGUUUUUGCUAAAAAAUUGAUGGCAUGAAUCAAACUUUAUUGAAAAUAUUAUAGAACAAGUCCUACGAGAGGUCAACCAGACACCUCUAGAUGUUGCUUGGUACCCAAUUGGAGUAGAUUCUCGUGUAAAAAAUAUAGAGUCGUUAUUGAAAAGUCAAUGUGAAGAUGAAGUUCGCAUGGUUGGUAUAUAUGGCAUUGGUGGAACUGGAAAAACAACUCUGGCAAAAGCUAUCUACAACUGAAUACUUCGACAAUUCGAUCGUAGUUGCUUCCUUUCAAAUGUUAGAUCGGAAGCAGAAUCAUAUGGUCUAGUCAAGCUACAAGAGAAUCUUCUUCAUCAAAUUCUCAAAACUAAGGAUUUCAAAGUUAGUGGUGUUGCUAAAGGCAUCAAUUUAAUCAAAGCAAGACUUCGGUUAAGGAAGGUUGUAAUUGUUCUUGAUGAGAUGGACAAUAUAAGACAAUUAGAAUGUUUAGCAAGAGAAAGAAGUUGGUUUGGUUUAGGUAGUUUAAUAAUUGUUACAUCGCGAGAUGAACAUUUGCCUAAGUUACUCGGACUCUUCGAAAGUGUUGCCGCACCCGUGUCGGAUCCUCCAAAAAUACACUACUUUUGAAGGGUCCGACAAGCACCUGACGACAUUUUUGGAGAGUCCGAGUAACUUAGACAUUUGCUAUACUCAGAGUGUUUUCCUUGAUAUUGCAUGCGUCUUUCAUGGGUUUGCUAAGGAAGAAGUGACGAAAACGUUAAAUGCAUGUGGUUUUUAUUCUGAAAGUGCAAUUGCGACUUUGGUCCGGAAAUGCUUGCUCCAAAGUGCAAGGCCUCUUUUAGUGAUGCAUGAUCAAGCGUGAGAUAUGGGAAGAGAAAUCGUUCGCAUGGAAUCACCCCGAGACCCUGGAAAACGGAGUUGAUUGUUCAAUCCUCAAGAAGUCCGUGAUGUUCUACAAGGAAAUAGAGGUUCUGAACAGGUAGAAGUACUGGUGGUCGAUUCAGAGGCGAUAAAUGGUUUGGACUUGAGCACCAAAGUAUUCAAGAAAAUGAAAAAUCUUACGGUGCUUAAAAUCGAUGAGUUACAUAUUAGUAGAGAUCUUGAGCUGUUGUCCAAGGAGCUCCGAUGGUUGUCUUGGCAACGAUGUCCUUUAAAAUAUAUACCAUCAAAUAUUCCUGCUGAGAAACUUGUAGUUUUAGAUAUACAAGAGAGCAAUAUCCAAGAAUUUGGUUUGAAUUUACAGGUUCGUUACUUCAUUUUACAAUUUGAUGUGUACUGUUACUUUAAAAAAAAUGGCUUCCGGGUCAGCUUGGACGGACCUCGACUAAUUUCACGGGAUACCAUGUCACCUAGUAUUUUUAUCUCUGCCGGAUUAGAACCUGAGACCUCAUGGUUUUCAACCCGCUUCAUUGACCACUAGGUCAUACCCUUGUGUGCUUUCAUGUGUGCUGUUAUUUCAACUAUAGUGAAAGGAAAUCUUGCUUGAGUUUAUAUUUGGUUUACUUUUUAGUGUUGUAAAAGUCUGAAGGAGCUGGAUCUCUCUGAUUGUAAGCGCCUUAGAAGAACACCAAACUUCAAUGAUUCACGAAGUCUUGAGAAUUUGCGAGUUGGUGGUUGCUCAAGGCUGACGAAGAUCCAUGAAUCAAUAGGAAAUUUGGACAGACCGAUUGAUCCAGAUUUGGAUGGUUGCAAAAAACUUACGGAUCUUCCAAGCAGCAUAUGCAAGCUAAAAUCACUUGAAUUCCUGGACAUUAGUAGGUGCUCAUCUGUACAAACACUGCUAGUUGACCUUGGUGAUAUUCUAAGUCUAAAGCAUCUUUCUGCAGUUGGUACGGCUAUAAAACAAUUGCCUGGAUCUAUUGAAAUGCUAAGAGACCUCGUACUUUUGAAAGUGGGAGGUCGAAAUAUAGAGGCCAAAAGGAGUUUUUCCGGAAGAAGAUUCCGUACCAUACAAUCCUUGUCAACUUUUCUUUUGGAUUUAAGCCUUACAUAUUGUGGUUUAUCCGAGGCUGAUAUUCCUAUGGGUAUCAGGAAUUUAUCCUGCUUGAGAAAUUUAGAUUUGAGUGGCAAUAGUUUCCAUUGUCUUCCCUUUGGCUUUUCUAAGUUACGAUCGUUGAGGUUCUUGGGUUUGAACGACUGUGAGAAUCUUCAUAAUAUCUCAACAGUUUUUCGCUUGCAAAUUACAAAAAAUUGGUCAAGAUUACAGAUUUGGACAACCUCCCUUCCAUAGAGUUGGUCAACAUGCUUACUUGUAGUUCUCUGCAGAAUCCAUUCAACAAAUGCUACUCGCAUCGUAAAAUAUCGCAAUCUGUUUAGUCUCCCCUGC